rnacentral:ncRNA from 1 species
AAGUGGUACGCGAGCUGGGUUUAGAACGUCGUGAGACAGUUCGGUCCCUAUCUGCCGUGGACGUUGGAGAUUUGAGGAAAGCUGCUCCUAGUACGAGAGGACCGGAGUGGACGAACCGCUGGUGUUCGGGUUGUGUCGCCAGACGCAUUGCCCGGUAGCUAUGUUCGGACAGGAUAACCGCUGAAAGCAUCUAAGCGGGAAGCCCCUUCCAAGAUGAGAUCUCCCUGGACCCUUGAGGUCCCUGAAGAGCCGUUCAAGACCAGGACGUUGAUAGGUCGGGUGUGUAAGCGCUGCGAGGCGUUGAGCUAACCGAUACUAAUUGCUCGUGAGGCUUGACUAU